ensembl:lncRNA
GGUUAGGCUGCAACUUGAAACGUUUAUAUAAAAGGUUCAGUUGGUGAUGUAUUUAAAUUUCACACAUUAGCAAUGUGUGUUCACCAUUUUUUUUGGUUUUAUUCUGAGUUUAGUGUUUAUUUGUGAGCGUUGUUUUAUUUGCACAGUUUUACUCUGUUUGUAUCACAUGUUUUUAGUCUUUUAUUUUUACAUUGUUUUAAUCCACUGUGGAUUGGCUGGGCAUGGGACAAAUGAGCUGAUAGUGAUCACCUGUUGAGGCAUGUGUGUGUCCAGUGGUGUCCUUUCAGCUGUUUAAAGGUCGUAUUAAAAGGAAGCAAGCUGAGCACUGGAAGGAGAGAGGCCCUAGAUUGGAAGAGGAACGCAUGAAGGCCAGGUGGAAAAGAGGGAGCCGCUGUGUGAUCGUGGGGGUGCGACGCCUCAUCUGGAGACUCGUCAGCAGGAACGGCGACAGUAGGAUACGACGCGUGUGAUUGACAUCAGGGCAGAUGUAUUCCACUGCCUGCAUUUGUGAUGGCGUGAGGGGAGCCGCGGUGGUAUCGAGCGACGGACUCCAAUGCAGAAUGCAAACUGGGCUGGGAUGUGAUGGGCCCAGUGGACGGACGAGACUGGGACAGGAGGUUCCUCGUCUGCCUGGCACGAGGCUGGCGUGGAGCCCGCUCAGCAAGAGGAAUUUCUGUCCAGCUCAAGAACACACAAGGAAUAUUCAUCCUGGGUUGUGGGACUGGGUGGGAUUUCUGUGCAUGAAGAGAAUUGUAUUUUUACCAGUUUUAGAAUAAUCUUAUCUAGUCUCGGAGGGAAUUUUAGCAUAUUGAGAAAAAUGUUGUUGUGAAUUGGCUUGAUUUAAAUCAAAUUGAACUGCAUUCAAUUAAAGCCAAAUAUAACUUGUAAUCAAAUCUAUUCAAAUGUAAAGUCAUCUCACUCAAUUUGGACAACUAGCACUAAAAA